rnacentral:rRNA from 1 species
GGUGAACCCUCUUCGGAGGGGGAUCAGUGGCGAACGGGUGAGUAACACGUGAGCAACCUGCCCCUGGCUCUGGGACAACCACUGGAAACGGUGGCUAAUACCGGAUACGACCCGCCACCGCAUGGUGUGUGGGUGGAAAGUUUUUCGGCUGGGGAUGGGCUCGCGGCCUAUCAGCUUGUUGGUGGGGUGAUGGCCUACCAAGGCGACGACGGGUAGCCGGCCUGAGAGGGCGACCGGCCACACUGGGACUGAGACACGGCCCAGACUCCUACGGGAGGCAGCAGUGGGGAAUAUUGCACAAUGGGCGCAAGCCUGAUGCAGCGACGCCGCGUGAGGGAUGACGGCCUUCGGGUUGUAAACCUCUUUCAGCUCCGAAGAAGCGCAAGUGACGGUAGGAGCAGAAGAAGCACCGGCUAACUACGUGCCAGCAGCCGCGGUAAUACGUAGGGUGCAAGCGUUGUCCGGAAUUAUUGGGCGUAAAGAGCUCGUAGGCGGUGUGUCGCGUCUGCUGUGAAAACUCAGGGCUCAACUCUGAGCUUGCAGUGGGUACGGGCACACUUGAGUGCUGUAGGGGAGACUGGAAUUCCUGGUGUAGCGGUGAAAUGCGCAGAUAUCAGGAGGAACACCGGUGGCGAAGGCGGGUCUCUGGGCAGUUACUGACGCUGAGGAGCGAAAGCAUGGGGAGCGAACAGGAUUAGAUACCCUGGUAGUCCAUGCCGUAAACGUUGGGCGCUAGGUGUGGGGUCCAUUCCACGGAUUCCGUGCCGCAGCUAACGCAUUAAGCGCCCCGCCUGGAGAGUA